rnacentral:rRNA from 1 species
CCAAGGAGUUUAGCGUGUACGCGAGUCAAUGAGUAUACACUAAACUUAAAGGCGAAACAAAAGUGAAGGCUUUCCUUUGAAAGGAAGCUGAGGGAAGAUGUGAUGACUCGCUCGUCAAAAAGCAGUCACUCCGCAUUCCCGGGGCGUUCUUCUCUCAUUGCGAGAGUGGGCGCACCCAGAGCGUACACGCUGAUACCCGAAAGAUGGUGAACUAUGCCUGGCCAGGAUGAAGCCAGGGGAAACCCUGGUGGAGGUCCGAAGCGAUUCUGACGUGCAAAUCGAUCGUCGGAGCUGGGUUUAGGGGCGAAAGACCAAUCGAACCAUCUAGUAGCUGGUUCCCUCUGAAGUUUCCCUCAGGAUAGCUUGCUUUCAGAGAAAAAUAUUGAGUCUCAUCCGGUAGAGCGAAUGAUUAGAGGCCUUGGGGUCGGAAUGACCUCAACCUAUUCUCAAACUCCAAAUAAAUGAGAUUUCCGGCUUGCUUGUGAAAUGAAGCCGCUGAAAUUGGAUCUAGAAAGCAAAGUGGGCCAAUACU